AGUAUUAUUAGCAUGCAGUGUGUUUGCCAUAGUGUCAUGUUCAAGUAAAGUGGUUUUCACCUCACCAUUAUUAUUUGAAGUGAUUUGUGUGUUAGUAUGUGAGGACUGUGAUGAAAAAUGCAGUAAGGUAUGAUAAAUAUGUUUACAUUUUUUACAUCCAGAUGAGCUACACUGUUUUGUCAUAUGACCAAAACGCAAACAGUUUAUGCAAAGCUUGUUGGAUUUAGCAGAAUUUAAUCGUUCAGUUGGUGAAAGCUCUAAAAACUUGGGACAUAAAUAAAUCAAGUGAUCCUUUUUACAAAUUGUGCAGCAUGUAGUGUCAGCAACAAACAAGGAUUUUGAGUUUUCCCGUGUAAAAUUGUGUUUAGUGCUUUGAACAUGUUUGUUUGUUUCUGCUAAUGUUUCAUUUUGAGACAUAUAGUUCAUAGCUUCCAAAAUGACUUCGUUGACAAAAUUAUCAGCUUCCCAGGCUCGCCUUGUUGUUUGGUAGAAUUUUGAUGAGAUAAUAUGGAUGAUUAACGCAUCCCAAUGCUCGGUGGGGGAUUUUAAGCACCUUCAAAGCAUCAAUUUGUUUUUGCAAUCCGUCAAAAAGUGUUCGCAAGCCUUGAAAUGAUUCUUGAUCAAGAGACGGUAAGUUUAUGAUUGCACUAAUGUGAUUAUUAACAAGUAAGCGUUUAUUUUCGAAGCAUUUGUAAAGUAAAUCCCAAGCAAUCAGAUAAUGAUCGUUAGAUAUUCCAAGGCAUGAAAGUAAAUCAAAUUAUUAUUGGCAUGAAUCAGUGAAAUAAAUGUGUCUUUAAAAAAGACCCUUGUGUCAUAGGAUAAAUCAAAGGUGGGUAAGUUUAUAGCAGGUAGUUUAACAGAAGAAAGGUCAGUUGUAUUUAAAAGUGGUGUUGAACUAUUAAUAUCAUGAUGAAUACAGUGUGUCUGAUAAUGAUUUGAUUGUCCCAGAAGUAAUUGAGUAAAAAGCAUUUUCAAAAUCCAUUCUAGUUUUAUUAUACUCCUCUGCAUUACUAUCAUAAUCUGAGUCAGAUAAUUCAAUUCUCGAUUGAACCUCAUUGAAAUCAUCCAGCAAACCUUUAGCUUUAGAUAAACGCAAACUCAACGGAGUCCAAGUCUUUUAUACUAUUAAAGUAUGUCUCAAAGCGUGUUAAGCCACUUUUAAUACAUGCUCUUUUAGUUUUAUCUGUCAUUGUUGACAGCAGGAUUUGUCAAAAAAAGUGUGUAGAUUUAUUUAACAAAAUUGGUGUUAAAAUCAAAUUCAAUGAAUCAAAAGAGAAGAUAAGUUCGAGAUUAUGAGGAGAAACAUUAUGCUUGUUGAUUUGUCUCAAUACAAAAUACAAGUCAAGUGAAACUUACCUUGGGUGUUGGAUAAAUGUAAACAAGGAUGUGGGAACUGUAGUCUUCACUGUGCCGCAAUAAGGGCAGCUUGUAGAGGCAAAACCAAAAUUGUCAGGAUAGGUGCUGGAACGGAGAGCUCAAGACCUGUUUCCGCCGGCAAAUAAUGACGAAGUCCGAAAUAUCCGGGGUCGGAGGACCAAUAUGUUGGGAUAUGAUGUCGAAUAUUAUUAGAACUUCACGUUAAAAAGCAAUCUUUUAAAUUGGAGAAACCAUGGGGGCUCACUCAAAUAGUCAAGGUCAGACCAAGAUUUUGAUUGUCGUCAGCGCCACCUAGGCCCUGCUUACAAGGCAACUUACUCAUAAAUGAACGGAACAUCCCCGAGGGGGCGCCAUGGCGACGUUUACAGCGUGGGAGCUGAUUUCAAAGAUGUUGAUUUGCAUUUUUCGCGAGGCGUCUUUUUUGGCAUCAGGGAAAGGCGUUGUUUCUUGCACAAGUUUUUUGCUUUCUGCGACCAAUAAUUUAUUAAAACAUGAGUUUUAGACCUUGUUGUGUGCCUAGCAGUGCAAUGAUAUUUGUUCUAAACGGUGUUCAUUUCCUAGAAGACUCGUAUGUCUUCUUUAAAGAUUACUACAUACGUUAUUCACUCUACAUACUACAUAUAUUUCGAAGGUUUCCAAGGUGCUGCUUCCAUAGAGAAUAGCUUCCUGGCAAAAGACGCUUGGUGCAACCCAUAGUCAAACUAUGCGAUAUUCCUGGACCAUCGGUUGAAUGUUAAUUGUAAGGAAGUGAGAUGUAGAUUUAGCAACCUAUCAAUUUUUAGACUCCAAAGACACUCUUUCCAGGGAGAGCAGAUCAAAUCACACAGCAUCAGCACCUGAAUUGCGUACUCCGAAAAAAAUUAAAGAUGAUAUUCUGGACAGCCCUUUUACAGCUGUCACCAGUACAAAUUCUGCAAGGGCCACACAGUUUCGAGGGUAAGGAGACUUAAUUUGAAAGCAGUAGGAGUUACACAGCAGAAGCAUUUGUCGCCUCGCAACAAAAUUUUGUAUUAGGGCGUAAAGAAUUUGGUACAUCGCCAAUAGGUGAGAAACCUAUAUGUAAUUAUGUUAUCCAUACACAUACCUAAAUAUGUAUCUGCAUUAGUAAUUGUACUAAAUUAAUAAAUUUGUUUUGUUACUUUGAAUUAGGUAUUUAUUUAAUUCCUGAAUUUUUGAUUCAUAACAUGAUUUUGCUUCUUGAGCAAA